rnacentral:rRNA from 1 species
AUUGAACGCUGGCGGAAUGCUUUACACAUGCAAGUCGAACGGCAGCACGGGAGCUUGCUCCUGGUGGCGAGUGGCGAACGGGUGAGUAAUGCGUCGGAACGUGCCGAGUAAUGGGGGAUAACGCAGCGAAAGUUGUGCUAAUACCGCAUACGCCCUGAGGGGGAAAGUGGGGGAUCGCAAGACCUCACGUUAUUCGAGCGGCCGACGUCUGAUUAGCUAGUUGGUGGGGUAAAGGCCUACCAAGGCGACGAUCAGUAGCGGGUCUGAGAGGAUGAUCCGCCACACUGGGACUGAGACACGGCCCAGACUCCUACGGGAGGCAGCAGUGGGGAAUUUUGGACAAUGGGGGCGAACCCUGAUCCAGCCAUUCCGCGUGAGUGAAGAAGGCCUC